rnacentral:rRNA from 1 species
AGUUUGAUCCUGGCUCAGGAUGAACGUAGGUGGCGUGCGUAACACAUGCAAGUUGGACGACGGUAUCAACCAAUUGGUAACACGGAUUGAUAUACGGAGUAGCGGACGGGUGAGUAAAGCAUGAGAAGCUGUCCUACGGAGGGGGAUAACGUUCGGAAACGGACCCUAAUACCCCAUAGUCCGAGAGGUUAAAGGCAGAGAUGUGCCGUAGGAGGUGCUCGUGUCCUAUCAGCUGGUUGGUGAGGUAAGGGCUCACCAAGGCGACGACGGGUAGCCGGCCUGAGAGGGUGACCGGCCACACUGGAACUGAGAUACGGUCCAGACUCCUACGGGAGGCAGCAGUGGGGAAUAUUGGGCAAUGGGAGGAAUCCUGACCCAGCGACGCCGCGUGAACGAAGACGGCCUUCGGGUUGUAAAGUUCUUUUAUGUGGGAAGAAGGAAGUGACGGUACCACAUGAAUAAGCCCCGGCUAACUACGUGCCAGCAGCCGCGGUAAUACGUAGGGGGCGAGCGUUGUCCGGAAUUACUGGGCGUAAAGGGCACGCAGGCUGUGCUUCAAGUCAGCUGUAAAAGGAUGCGGCUUAACCGUGUUAUGCAGUUGAGACUGAGGUGCUGGAGUACCGGAGAGGCAAGUGGAAUCCCCAGUGUAGCGGUGAAUUGCGUAGAUAUUGGGAAGUACAUCGGUGG